rnacentral:lncRNA from 1 species
AGGUGCUGCAGCAAUUCACCAGAGGACGGAAGUGGCACAUCUGGGACUGAGAACUGGCAAGGCCAGAGGGCAGAAGCAAGUCACAAAAGCCAGUGGCCCAAACUCACAUCAUCCACCUCCAUUGCACUGAGCUAAAACCAUGCCCAGGAACUGGCGUCCCAAAUCUAAACAGUGAGGCUUGAGAAGCGGGCUGGAUUCCACGGUGGGCAAGUGUGCAGAGGACAUAAGCCGAGAAGAGGCCCUUGGAGAGGACAGAAAUAACAACAUCGUAGGCAGACAGUUGUGGGUUCUGCCAGUCACGCUUUCGCACAAGUCACAGCACUCAGCCUCAGUAAGCGGAGGAAAAUAACAGAAAACAAAGUUGGAAAGCAUGGCUGAGGAGAGGGAGAUAAACCGAGAUAAAUCGUGAAGAGUGGUUGAAAUAAGCUACCGACAGGCUUGACCCGCAGCAGGUGCCUGACUCUGCUGGUUCCCAGUCCAGCCCCAGCUCAGGUGCACAAGGCGUCCGGGGGACUGCCAGCACUGCACAGCCCUUUCCAUACCUCCUGGAUGGUGACCUUUACCUCCGUUCCACCGUGGCCACCCAUACCCUGGGCCUUGUCAUCUCUCGAAGGUUCCAACUGCAUUCUGAAAU